GAGCGGGGCGGAGGAGGGAGGAGCCAGAGCGGCCGCCACACUCGCCCCCCGUCCCCCCGCGCUCACUCUCUCUCACACCCGGGCGCUGGAAGCGGGCGGCCCGGGCCCCACCGGCCCCCCAUGGACGCCCCCGGUACGGGGCGCUGAGACCCCAGCGUUGUUGCCCAGCCGGGUCCAGCGCGCCACGCCGAGGGAUUAAACUCAGAUGCACUCAGCCACUGAGCCACCCACCCAGCCUUAUUUUGUAUUUUAUUUAGAGACAGGGUCUCACUGAGUUGCUUAGUGCCUUGCUAAGUUGCUGAGGCUGGCUUUGACUCGCAAUCCUCCUGCUUCAGCCUCCUGAGCCGCUGGGAUUACAGGUGUGAACAACUGAGGAUGUUAACCAUCUUUUCUGAGAGUCUCACUAUGUUGUUCAGGCUGGUCUCAAACUCAUGGAAGUAGCUGGGACUACAGGUACACUGCUACACCUGGCUUCAAUGCAUCUUUUUAAAAACAAAUAUUUAACUCUACUACCCUGAAGUGAAAUUAACAAGCAAUAUAAAUUACCUGGAUACACAAUUUAAAAAGCAGAUCAAUAUAAUUUUCUGGCUAUUAAAGAAAAAUAAAGACAAGAAGAAGGCAUUUCAAUAUGCAAAUACUUGGGCACUAUUCUACACUGGAAGUUAGAGGAAAAUAGGAAACUCUACCCCCAGCCCUAGAAUCACUAAGAAUGUGAUAGGGAAAAAUAUAGACUGACCGAGGAGAGUUGAAUUAGGCAGAAUUGCCAUUGGUCUGACUUUCCAAAAUGGUGAACAACUCUUGAUAAAGUUCAGAACAAUACAAAACAAUUUACAUAGUGGUUGCAUUGCUGGAAAAGACAGGUCAUAUUAAAUAUGUGCAAAAAUAUUGCAUAUUUGUGCUUUCCUUUUCAGGCUAAGAACCUAAAAGACCUAAAAACAACUAAAAUCCUGGAUAAAACUUUUUUUUUAAAUCUUAAACGCUGCUGGGCAUGGUGGUGCAUGCCUGUAAUCCCAGUGGCUUGGGAGGCUGAGGCAAGAGGAUCACUAGUUCAAAGCCAGCCUUAGCAAUUUAGUAAGGCCUUAAACAACUCACUGAGACCCUGUCUCUAAAUAAGAUAUAAAAAAAGGGCUGGGGAUGUGGCUCAGUGAUUAAGCGCCUCUGAAUUCAAUCCACAGUACCAAAAAAAUCUUAAAUGCUGGGGCUCCGGUUGUGGCUCAGUGUAAAAUGCUUGCCUGGCAUGUGGGAGAGGCCGUGGGUUUGAUUUUCAGCACUACAUAUUAAUUAAUUAAUUAAUUAAUUAAUUAAAGGUCCAUGGACAACUAAAAUAUAUUUAAAAAAAAAAUCUCAGAGGGCUGGGGCUAUGGCUCAGCGGUAGCGCA